rnacentral:rRNA from 1 species
AAGCUACCCUGGGGAUAACAGGCUUAUCUCCCCCAAGAGUCCACAUCGACGGGGAGGUUUGGCACCUCGAUGUCGGCUCAUCACAUCCUGGGGCUGUAGUAGGUCCCAAGGGUUGGGCUGUUCGCCCAUUAAAGUGGUACGCGAGCUGGGUUCAGAACGUCGUGAGACAGUUCGGUCCCUAUCCGUCGCAGGCGUAGGAAAUUUGAGAAGACCUGUCCUUAGUACGAGAGGACCGGGAUGGACGUACCUCUGGUGUACCAGUUGUCCUGCCAAGGGCAUGGCUGGGUAGCUAUGUACGGAAUGGAUAAGCGCUGAAAGCAUCUAAGCGCGAAGCCAACUUCAAGAUAAGAUUUCCCACCGCAAGGGUAAGACCCCAGAAAGACUAUCUGGUUGAUAGGUCGAAGGUGUAAGUGCAGCAAUGUAUUUAGCUUAUCGAUACUAAUAGGUCGAGGACUUGACCAAU